CCCAAACUGGUGUGAAUGGAAACACAGCCGGGUAUCACUCGCUUCACGCGUGCCCUUUGGGGGGCGGCAGUUCCUGGUUCGAGCCCAGGGUUUGGGA